GACGAACGCUGGCGGCGGGCUUAACACAUGCAAGUCGAACGGAAAGGCACUGCUUUUGUGGGGUGCUCGAGUGGCGAACGGGGGAGUAACACGUGAGUAACCUGACCUUGACUUUGGGGUAACUUCAGGAAGCUGAGGCUAAUACCGGAUAGGAGCUCCUGCUGCGUGGUGGGGGUUGGAAAGUUUCGGCGGGUGGGGAUGGACUCGCGGCUUAUCAGCUUGUUGGUGGGGUAGUGGCUUACCCAGGCUUUGACGGGUAGCCGGCCUGAGAGGGUGACCGGGCACAUUGGGCCUGAGAUACGGCGCAGACUCCUACGGGAGGCAGCAGUGGGGAAUAUUGCACAAUGGGCGGAAGUCUGAUGCAGCAGCGCUGCGUGCGGGAUGACGGCUUUCUGGUUGUAAACCGCUUUAGCUUGUGACGAAGCGUGAGUGACGGUAAUCGGUAAAGAAGCACCGGCUAACUACGUG
rnacentral:rRNA from 1 species